rnacentral:lncRNA from 1 species
CGCAAGCAAAGCUGUCCAGACUGAAGGAGAUGUUUCCACAGUGGAGCACAGCAGAGCUGCAACAGGUCAUUGCUGAUACAAGCACUUUGGAUGGAGCAGUAGCACUUUGUCUGGUUCAGUUUGGUGAUAAAGAUUUAUCAAAAUGCAGGAAGACUAAGGCUGUGUUAAGCGAAGAUAAAGAUGUGGUUCAGCCUAGCAAGAGGAGGAGAGCAGAUUUGGUGAAGCACUUUUCAGAUGAGGUCCAUCUGGUCCCUAUACUAAAUGAUUUGCCUUCAACCUCCAUUCAAUUUGGCUUUUUCUUCAUAAAAAACUGAUUCAGGAAAGUG